rnacentral:rRNA from 1 species
GAUGAACGCUGGCGGCGUGCCUAAUACAUGCAAGUCGAGCGAACAGACGAGGAGCUUGCUCCUCUGACGUUAGCGGCGGACGGGUGAGUAACACGUGGAUAACCUACCUAUAAGACUGGGAUAACUUCGGGAAACCGGAGCUAAUACCGGAUAAUAUAUUGAACCGCAUGGUUCAAUAGUGAAAGACGGUUUUGCUGUCACUUAUAGAUGGAUCCGCGCCGCAUUAGCUAGUUGGUAAGGUAACGGCUUACCAAGGCAACGAUGGGUAGCCGACCUGAGAGGGUGAUCGGCCACACGGGAACUGAGACACGGUCCAGACACCUACGGGAGGCAGCAGUAGGGAAUCUUCCGCAAUGGGCGAAAGCUUGACGGAGCAACGCCGCGUGAGUGAUGAAGGUCUUCGGAUCGUAAAACUCUGUUAUUAGGGAAGAACAAAUGUGUAAGUAACUAUGCACGUCUUGACGGUACCUAAUCAGAAAGCCACGGCUAACUACGUG